rnacentral:rRNA from 1 species
GCAUGAAGUCAGACAAGUGA